rnacentral:siRNA from 1 species
ACAUCGGUCAACGCUAGUCAAUAC